rnacentral:rRNA from 1 species
GGAGAGUUUGAUCCUGGCUCAGGAUGAACGCUAGCGGCAGGCUUAACACAUGCAAGUCGAGGGGCAGCAUAAUGGAUAGCAAUAUCUAUGGUGGCGACCGGCGCACGGGUGCGUAACGCGUAUGCAACCUACCUUUAACAGGGGGAUAACACUGAGAAAUUGGUACUAAUACCCCAUAAUAUCAUAGAAGGCAUCUUUUAUGGUUGAAAAUUCCGAUGGUUAGAGAUGGGCAUGCGUUGUAUUAGCUAGUUGGUGGGGUAACGGCUCACCAAGGCGACGAUACAUAGGGGGACUGAGAGGUUAACCCCCCACACUGGUACUGAGACACGGACCAGACUCCUACGGGAGGCAGCAGUGAGGAAUAUUGGUCAAUGGACGCAAGUCUGAACCAGCCAUGCCGCGUGCAGGAUGACGGCUCUAUGAGUUGUAAACUGCUUUUGUACGAGGGUAAACGCAGAUACGUGUAUCUGUCUGAAAGUAUCGUACGAAUAAGGAUCGGCUAACUCCGUGCCAGCAGCCGCGGUAAUACGGAGGAUUCAAGCGUUAUCCGGAUUUAUUGGGUUUAAAGGGUGCGUAGGCGGUUUGAUAAGUUAGAGGUGAAAUUUCGGGGCUCAACCCUGAACGUGCCUCUAAUACUGUUGAGCUAGAGAGUAGUUGCGGUAGGCGGAAUGUAUGGUGUAGCGGUGAAAUGCUUAGAGAUCAUACAGAACACCGAUUGCGAAGGCAGCUUACCAAACUAUAUCUGACGUUGAGGCACGAAAGCGUGGGGAGCAAACAGGAUUAGAUACCCUGGUAGUCCACGCAGUAAACGAUGAUAACUCGUUGUCGGCGAUACACAGUCGGUGACUAAGCGAAAGCGAUAAGUUAUCCACCUGGGGAGUACGUUCGCAAGAAUGAAACUCAAAGGAAUUGACGGGGGCCCGCACAAGCGGAGGAACAUGUGGUUUAAUUCGAUGAUACGCGAGGAACCUUACCCGGGCUUGAAAGUUAGCGACGAUUCUUGAAAGAGGAUUUCCCUUCGGGGCGCGAAACUAGGUGCUGCAUGGUUGUCGUCAGCUCGUGCCGUGAGGUGUCGGGUUAAGUCCCAUAACGAGCGCAACCCCUACCGUUAGUUGCCAUCAGGUCAAGCUGGGCACUCUGGCGGGACUGCCGGUGUAAGCCGAGAGGAAGGUGGGGAUGACGUCAAAUCAGCACGGCCCUUACGUCCGGGGCUACACA